UUGCUAUCCUGGAGCGUUAAGUCUUCUAUUUAUCGACAGAAGUUGUACAGCUUUGGCAGGAGCAGCGUAAAUUACCCGCUAUUUCCUGYCGGUGCGUUUCCUGUCUUGCUUGGGAGACGCACGUCUAGAUGAGGGCAUCGCUCAGCCCCUAUGGCCAGUGUUUGACCUAA
ensembl:misc_RNA